rnacentral:lncRNA from 1 species
AACCAGUCAGUCCGGCAGGUUUGCCUUUUAACUCCCUACAACCACAGACUCACCAAAUAGGUGACAGGACUGAGCAAGCCUGGCAGACAUUCAGAGAGAAGCUGCUCUCUGGAGGCUUCUUACUGCUAAUGUUCCAGAGAAACACCAGCAAUAAAGAGCACAAUGUUGCAAUCUGUUUUUGCAAUUCUUGCUUGGAUUUGAUCGGACAUCGUUAAUGACAAAUGACAACGGGCCUGUUGGUGAGUGGGCUGGGGGCCCCCAGUUGCCCUGGGUCCUUCCCUGGGUCCGCUGAGGGCAGGUAGGCUGGGCUGCACGCAGAGGCUCAGCUGAGGGCCCUGGAAUGGCGAGUGAGCAGCCAGGCAGCUGUAGACUCGAAGCCGCCACAUGGCUGCCCUCUCAGUGCCACGCCCCUGCCACCGACACGUGG